AGAAUGACUCUCGGCAACGGAUAUCUAGGCUCUCGCAUCGAUGAAGAACGUAGCGAAAUGCGAUACUUGGUGUGAAUUGCAGAAUCCCGUGAACCAUCGAGUCUUUGAACGCAAGUUGCGCCCGAUGCCAUUAGGUUGAGGGCACGUCUGCCUGGGUGUCACAU
rnacentral:rRNA from 1 species